AAAAAAUAGAAUUUAUGUUUUCCUAUUUGUUAACCCAAUUUUCCUUCCAAGUUUCAGGUAUUUUAGGAUUUUCAUUGAUCACGAUCCAUAUGAAUCCUCCACUUCCGUCGUGUCACCCACCGGCACAGGCAGAGGAACUGCUGUUUCCAGUAGCAGAGGAAACGGAUACCCCGGCGCCAAAGAAGCAUAAAAUAGGAGAUCAUGAGGACACUGCCAAUAUCUCCGAUGAGGAGGAUGGUUAUACCAAUCCGCUAUUUAGGACUUGUGCUGACUACGAUUCGGAAGAAGAAAAUUAUUGCCCAGAUAUCCCCGGUGCCAAAAUGGAUAAACCUCUCUGGGAGAAAUACUGGAAACAGAUCGAGGAGAGCGAGGGAUUUGAUAUCACAGAUUGUCCUGGAGGGUGUUGGAUGACUACUAUUGUUCCCAUGCAACACAUCUUGAACUCUACUGAGAAUGUUGACCGGUUGAAGGGUCAUGCUGGAAAGGCACUUGAGCAUUACAACAAUAUUAAUGGAACUAGUUAUGAGGUCGACGACAUUUUGAAGGUGAAUGGACAAGCUGCUGGUCGUUUUUUUGCUUACUAUCUUACCUUUUCUACCAAAAAAGGUGAGACACAUACUUUUCAAGCAAAGGUGCUGGAAGAUUUAGAUGAUUCCACAGAGGUUCUUAUCGUCAGGCCUAAGGUUGCUACCAUGGGGUAAAGGAGGUUAUUGUUACACAUUUGUUGGUGUGUUUUCAGCAUUUUCAGAUUCUAUCUUUAGUCUUAGUGGAAUGUGUUAUAUGAGUUUUG
rnacentral:misc_RNA from 1 species